rnacentral:rRNA from 1 species
UACGGAGGAUGCGAGUGUUAUCCGGAAUCACUGGGCGUAAAGCGUCUGUAGGUUGUUUGCUAAGUCUGCUGUUAAAGCUUGAAGCUCAACUUCAAAAAUGCAGCGGAAGCUAGUAGACUUGAGUGUGGUAGGGGUAGAGGGAAUUUCCAGUGAAGUGGUGAAAUGCGUAGAGAUCGGAAAGAACACCAACGGCGAAAGCACUCUGCUGGGCCGACACUGACACUGAGAGACGAAAGCUAGGGGAGCGAAUGGG